GACGAACGCUGGCGGCGUGCUUAACACAUGCAAGUCGAACGGUGAAGCGCCUUCCUUUUUGGUGGGUGUGGAUGAGUGGCGAACGGGUGAGUAACACGUGAGUAACCUGCCCCUUCUUCUGGAUAACCGCAUGAAAGUGUGGCUAAUACGGGAUAUUCUGGGUCUGUCGCAUGAUGGGUCUGGGAAAGAUAUUGUUUCGGUGGGGGAUGGGCUCGCGGCCUAUCAGCUUGUUGGUGGGGUGAUGGCCUACCAAGGCGGUGACGGGUAGCCGGCCUGAGAGGGUGGACGGUCACACUGGGACUGAGACACGGCCCAGACUCCUACGAGAGGCAGCAGUGGGGAAUAUUGCACAAUGGGCGCAAGCCUGAUGCAGCGACGCCGCGUGAGGGAUGGAGGCCUUCGGGUUGUGAACCUCUUUCGCCAGUGAAGCAGGCCUGCCUCGUUUGUGGGUGGGUUGACGGUAGCUGGAUAAGAAGCGCCGGCUAACUACGUG
rnacentral:rRNA from 1 species